rnacentral:rRNA from 1 species
AUGGAGGUUGUGAAGGUCCGUGUUCAGACACAACUUGCCUUUGCAAGAGGUUUAUCUGAUGGGCUCCGUAAGUUUGUGAAGGCUGAAGGAUAUGCUGGCUUGUACAAGCGAAUUGUUCCGCUCUACGGUCGACAAAUUACUGUUGCUUAA